AACGAACGCUGGCGGCAUGCCUAACACAUGCAAGUCGAACGAGACCUUCGGGUCUAGUGGCGCACGGGUGCGUAACGCGUGGGAACCUGCCCUUAGGUUCGGAAUAACUCAGAGAAAUUUGAGCUAAUACCGGAUGAUGUCUUCGGACCAAAGAUUUAUCGCCUUUAGAUGGGCCCGCGUUGGAUUAGCUAGUUGGUGGGGUAAAGGCCUACCAAGGCGACGAUCCAUAGCUGGUCUGAGAGGAUGAUCAGCCACACUGGGACUGAGACACGGCCCAGACUCCUACGGGAGGCAGCAGUGGGGAAUAUUGGACAAUGGGCGAAAGCCUGAUCCAGCAAUGCCGCGUGAGUGAUGAAGGCCUUAGGGUUGUAAAGCUCUUUUACCCGAGAUGAUAAUGACAGUAUCGGGAGAAUAAGCUCCGGCUAACUCCGU
rnacentral:rRNA from 1 species